GCUUUUGGGCAUCCUUAGUCAGCAUUUUGGACAGGUGUUAUGUCCACCUUGUUGCCAGAAGCUUGGCCACGUCUCCCAUGAUUUAUUUGCUGAGUUUGAGCAGAUCAUGUAGGAGUUUGCUAGUGUUCAAGAGAUUGUGAGAGUGUUGAAGCAAAAGUUAAGCUUUUGAGAGUUAGUACGGUUGAAGACGAGUUGAUCUGUUUUCCUUGGAUUUAGAACGUUCAUCUUCCUGUUUAUAGAGGUAAGGGAAGAUCUGGACCUUGUUAUAUGGUUUCUGAAGGUUUUAUGGGGAUAAAGGAAGGAGAUGCAUGCUUAGGGUAUUAAUGAUAGUUUUGAUGUUUUAUGCAUGUAUACAUGUUUAUGUGUUAUGUUUG
rnacentral:lncRNA from 1 species